rnacentral:rRNA from 1 species
UACGUAGGGGGCAAGCGUUGUCCGGAAUCAUUGGGCGUAAAGCGCGUGUAGGCGGCCCGGUAAGUCCGCUGUGAAAGUCGGGGGCUCAACCCUCGAAUGCCGGUGGAUACUGUCGGGCUAGAGUGCGGGAGAGGCGAGUGGAAUUCCUGGUGUAGCGGUGAAAUGCGCAGAUAUCAGGAGGAACACCAAUUGCGAAGGCAGCUCGCCGGAACGUAACUGACGCUGAGACGCGAAAGCGUGGGGAGCAAACAGG